CGCGCUCCUCACAAUUAGUUUGUUUAUUAAUUGAGCAUGUGGCCGUCACAAGGAUGACGUAACACCAGCAGUUACGGGACUUAGUCAAUAACUGCAAAAUGGUGU
rnacentral:sRNA from 12 species